CUGCAGGAGCGGUUCCAAUACAAGGGCAAAGAGAAGAGGGGAGGGUGGGCACCCCUGUCUCGUACCGUUGGUCAAUGGGAACGGCUCUGGGCGGGCCCCGGGGAUAAUCACCUGUGCCGUGACCCCAUGAUAUAAGGCGCGAAUGGUCUGAGUGUACUGAUCCGGGAAUCCCAGGUGAUCAAGGAGUGUGAACAUGUACGGCCAUUUCACCCGAUCAAAAGCUUUUUCAGCAUCUAGGGAUAACAUGAUGGUGGGGGUUUUGUUGUUGUGCUGUCGCCAUAUGAUAUCAAAGGAUUUGCGGGUAUUUUCAAAAAG